ensembl:lncRNA novel transcript, antisense to RTN4RL1
GGUUAGACAGUGAUCACAGGUUCGGAAGCACGAGCCUCACCACAGCGGAGGAGGCCUCCACUCUGAAGCGGGAUUCCACGCUCCUGCACCCUAAGAUCAGCUAGACUCUCUGCCUUGUUUCAUCUUCUUUCUUUUCCUAAAGAAUCACGGGGAGAACUGACCUCUCUGGGACUCAACCGUGGCUGGAAGGGGACAGGAGAAGCCCUUUCUGGAGGACAGCUGAGCCCUGCAGCUGCCAUCCUGCCUGGCAGGCUAGGGCUGGGCUGCGGGAAGGCCCCCCAGGAGGGAGGUCCGGCCACUGCACCCCGAGGAAAGGGCUGCUUUCGGCACUCUGCGUGGAGGUCCUGGCUUCUGCCGUCCCUGGAGGCUCCGUUCCCGUUUCGCCAGCUAUUUUGCUGCCUCGGCCAUCUGUUCCCUCCCUGUCAUCUCCUCUCUGCUUUAACCUUAACCACUACUUCACUGCAGAUGGUACCAGGCAGUUCUGCUCUCGACAUCCUUCACGACGCCUGGCCCUCCUUCUCAUCUCCAGCAAGUGAACCGCUCUGUCCUUUUUAAAGCCUCAUCCCAAAGACACGGCCAGAGCUUGGAGUUGGAUUCGCCCCACACAACUCCCCCUCUUUGAUGCCAUCUGCUUUCAACUCCACCACUGGCCAGGGGCAAACACCUACCCCUUCCCCUGCCUUUUCCUCCUGAGACUUCUUCUCAAACUCGGCCAAGAAGCUCUCCUGGCAUGGACAGCGUGUCUGCUCCGGGUCUCUACCUGGUCUCCAUCAACAGAGCCAUGUAACCGCCCAGAGGGCUCCAGGUCCGCAAGCUGAGGCGGAGGCCAGAAACUCUGAAGUUCACUCCUACUGUGGAGGAACGAGGGCUCGUGCUGGGAGUUUGGGUCAUGAACAGUUUCCCUGUAGAAAAUGGACCUGAACACUCUGCAGUAAGGAAUUGUUUCCCAUGCUGGCAUGGUGGGAACCGAACCAAAACACAUUUUCUAUGUUGUCUGAGCUCACAGGGAACAUCCCUCUGCUGUCCUUGCUGUUAUUCUGGCAUGCUGGUGAGAAAAUGCAUGCAUGGGCUUUACUUAGCAACUCGCUCUGCCUCUCCUCUCUGUCAGGGCGCUCCCCUAAAAUCUCUCCUCUUGACGUCUUUUUUCUGGCAUAAGGACCCGGAGCUUUGAGGAGCGCAGCAGCCCAGAAGCUCCUAAGGAGAGAAGCUGUUUUGGUGAGAUUGGUUCCACCAGGCUACAUGCCUUGACUGGGACAGAAAUGGGCUGGGAAGGCCGAAAUUUGACUUCUGCACCUGGAUUUGGGCUAAAAAGUCUCACAGCUCAGCCUCCUUGAUAAGGGUUCUUCUAUCUCCCCUCUAUACUUCCUCUGCAGCAGAAAAGAGUAUCUUGGCCGUGCAGGGAACGCUCUUCUCUCACUCUCGCCACUGGGGUUAAGGGCAGCUACAUUACUAUAGCUCCAAGUCUUGGUUGCCCCCAGAGAGAGGCAGAGAUGUAGCCUGCCCACAUCUGGACACUUGAAGACUCUCCAAACACCUAGAGGAGCUGUGGAUUCAAGUGAAGCAACCAUCUGAUGCCACCACGGUCCCUCCUUCCCUUUGCCUUCCCUUCUUCCCACAAAAGAGAAGCCCAAAUCCGCCACCAGACCAGCCCAUCUGCCCGUGGAAACCAAGGGAACCAAAUGCAUCGUACUGGGUUGCAGGCCUUAAUCUAGCUCUCGCUGAAUUAUUCAGGGAUGGCAUUAACUUAUAAAUGAGUGUGUUUGACUG